CACCCGGACCUGGCACAUUCGGUCGACCGCGCCCGGUUCCUACGUGCGGUCAAGGAUGUCGAACGCCGGCUCAUCCGGCCGAUGAGCCAGGCGGAGGCCUGGUCCACGAUGGCGCAGCUCAAUCCGGUGCUUGCCGACGGGCACCUCUUGAUCGGUUUCCCGGAUUGGCGCGGCGAGACCGCCGAGGCCGUGAAGCGAGGCGCCGCCUUCUUCCCCUUCGAGGUCGCGCUGGACGAUUCCGGCAAUCUCUGGAUCAUCUCCGAACUUGGCGGAGCAGCGACGCCGUUCGCCGGAAUGCGGAUCAA
rnacentral:misc_RNA from 1 species